CAGGGUGUAGCUACAACACAAAGCAUUCAGCUUACACCUGAAAGAUAUCUGCCACUCCCCCAGAUCGCCCUGA
rnacentral:tRNA from 1 species